rnacentral:rRNA from 1 species
AACGUAGGUUCCGAGCGUUAUCCGGAUUUACUGGGCGUAAAGCGCGUUCAGGCGGUUCGGCAAGUCGGACGUGAAAUCCCUCAGCUUAACUGGGGAACUGCGUCCGAUACUGGAUGGCUUGAGUUUGGGAGAGGGAUGCGGAAUUCCAGGUGUAGCGGUGAAAUGCGUAGAUAUCUGGAGGAACACCGGUGGCGAAGGCGGCAUCCUGGACCAACACUGACACUGAGGAGCGAAAGCCAGGGGAGCAAACGGG